GUGGGGAAUCUUAGACAAUGGGCGCAAGCCUGAUCUAGCCAUGCCGCGUGAGCGAUGAAGGCCUUAGGGUUGUAAAGCUCUUUCAGCUGGGAAGAUAAUGACGGUACCAGCAGAAGAAGCCCCGGCUAACUCCGUGCCAGCAGCCGCGGUAAUACGGAGGGGGCUAGCGUUGUUCGGAAUUACUGGGCGUAAAGCGCACGUAGGCGGAUCAGAAAGUCAGAGGUGAAAUCCCAGGGCUCAACCUUGGAACUGCCUUUGAAACUCCUGAUCUUGAGGUCGAGAGAGGUGAGUGGAAUUCCGAGUGUAGAGGUGAAAUUCGUAGAUAUUCGGAGGAACACCAGUGGCGAAGGCGGCUCACUGGCUCGAUACUGACGCUGAGGUGCGAAAGCGUGGGGAGCAAACAGGAUUAGAUACCCGAGUAGUCC
rnacentral:rRNA from 1 species